AACGAACGCUGGCGGCAUGCCUAACACAUGCAAGUCGAACGAGACCUUCGGGUCUAGUGGCGCACGGGUGCGUAACGCGUGGGAACCUGCCCUUAGGUUCGGAAUAACUCCCCGAAAGGGGUGCUGAUACCGGAUAAUGUCUUCGGACCAAAGAUUUAUCGCCUUUGGAUGGGCCCGCGUUGGAUUAGCUAGUUGGUAGGGUAAAAGCCUACCAAGGCGACGAUCCAUAGCUGGUCUGAGAGGAUGAUCAGCCACACUGGGACUGAGACACGGCCCAGACUCCUACGGGAGGCAGCAGUGGGGAAUAUUGGACAAUGGGCGAAAGCCUGAUCCGGCAAUGCCGCGUGAGUGAUGAAGGCCUUAGGGUUGUAAAGCUCUUUUACCCGGGAUGAUAAUGACAGUACCGGGAGAAUAAGCUCCGGCUAACUCCGUG
rnacentral:rRNA from 1 species